rnacentral:rRNA from 1 species
GACGAACGCUGGCGGCGUGCUUAACACAUGCAAGUCGAACGAUGAACCACUUCGGUGGGGAUUAGUGGCGAACGGGUGAGUAACACGUGGGCAAUCUGCCCUGCACUCUGGGACAAGCCCUGGAAACGGGGUCUAAUACCGGAUACUGAUCAUCUUGGGCAUCCUUGGUGAUCGAAAGCUCCGGCGGUGCAGGAUGAGCCCGCGGCCUAUCAGCUUGUUGGUGAGGUAAUGGCUCACCAAGGCGACGACGGGUAGCCGGCCUGAGAGGGCGACCGGCCACACUGGGACUGAGACACGGCCCAGACUCCUACGGGAGGCAGCAGUGGGGAAUAUUGCACAAUGGGCGAAAGCCUGAUGCAGCGACGCCGCGUGAGGGAUGACGGCCUUCGGGUUGUAAACCUCUUUCAGCAGGGAAGAAGCGAAAGUGACGGUACCUGCAGAAGAAGCGCCGGCUAACUACGUGC